ensembl:piRNA 21ur-2391 ncRNA
UGGUUUAUUCAGUCGUUGUUA